AGUUCGUAGAUCCUGCUCAGAUUGAACGCUGGCGGGAUGCUUUUACAUGCAAGUCGAACGGCAGCACGGUUCGGUCUGGUGGCGAGUGGCGAACGGGUGAGUAAUGUAUCGGAACGUGCCUAUAGUAGCGGGGGAUAAUUACGCGAAAAAGCGUAGCUAAUACCGCAUACGCCCUUCGGGGGAAAGCGGGGACCUCCGGGCCUCGCACUAUUAGAGCGGCCGAUAUCGAAUUAGCUAGUUGGUGGGGUAACGGCUCACCAAGGCGACGAUCCGUAAGUUGGUUUGAGAGGACGACCAGCCACACUGGGACUGAGACACGGCCCAGACUCACGGGAGGCAGUAAUUCUGACAAUGGGGAAACCCUGAUCCAGCCAUCCCGCGUGCUGGCGAAGGCCUCAAGCGGUAAAGCACUUUUUGGUAGGAAAGAAACGGUACGGGAUAAUACCCCGUGCAACUGACGGUACCUGCAGAAUAAGCACCGGUUAACUACGCCAGCAGCCGCGGUAAUACGUAGGGGUGCAAGCGUUAAUCGGAAUUACUGGGUGGAAGGCAGGCGGUACGGAAAGAAAGAGCGUGAAAUCCCAGAGCUUAACUUUGAACUGCAUUUUUAACUACCGAGCUAGAGUGUGUCAGGAGGGAGGUGGAAUUCCGCGUGUAGCAGGAAUGCGUAGAUAUGCGGAGGAACACCGAUGGCGAAGAGCUCUCCUGGGAUAACACUGACGCUCAUGCACGAAAGCGUGGGGAGCAAACAGGAUUAGAUACCCUGGUAGUCCACGCCCAAACGAUGUCACUAGCUGUUGGGGCCUUUCGGCCUUUGGUAGCGCAGCUAAUGCGUGAAGUUGACCGCCUGGGGAGUACGGUCGCAAGAUUAAAACUCAAAGGAAUUGAUUGGGACCCGCACAAGCGGUGGAUGAUGUGGAUUAAUUCGAUGCAACGCGAAAAAACCUUACCUACCCUUGAUAUGUUCCGAAUCCGAAGAUUUGGGAGUGUCGUAAAGAGAACCGAACACAGGUGCUGCAUGGCUGUCGUCAGCUCGUGUCGUGAGAUGUUGUUUAAGUCCCGCAAUGAGCGCAACCCUUGUCAUUAUUGUUAAUGAAAGGCACUCUAAUGAGACUGCCGCAGACAAACCGAGAAGGUGGGGAUGACGUCAAGUCCUCAUGGCCCUUAUGGGUAGGGCUUCACACGUCAUACAAUGGUCGGGACAGAGGGUCGCCAACCUGAGGGGGAGCCAACCCCAGAAAACCCGAUCGUGUCCGAUCAUGGCAGUCUGCAACUCGACUGCGUGUCGGAAUCAUGCAGAAUCGCGGAUCACACGUCGCGGUGAAUACGUUCCCGGGUCUGGUACACACCGCCCGUCACACCAUGGGAGUGGGUUUUACCAGAAGUAGUUAGCCUAACCGUAAGGAGGGCGAUUACCACGGUAGGAUCUCGCGACUGGGGUGAAGUCGUAACAAGGUAA
rnacentral:rRNA from 1 species